GACGAACGCUGGCGGCGUGCCUAAUACAUGCAAGUUGAGCGAUGAAGAUUGGUGCUUGCACCAAUUUGAAGAGCAGCGAACGGGUGAGUAACGCGUGGGGAAUCUGCCUUUGAGCGGGGGACAACAUUUGGAAACGAAUGCUAAUACCGCAUAACAACUUUAAACAUAAGUUUUAAGUUUGAAAGAUGCAAUUGCAUCACUCAAAGAUGAUCCCGCGUUGUAUUAGCUAGUUGGUGAGGUAAAGGCUCACCAAGGCGAUGAUACAUAGCCGACCUGAGAGGGUGAUUGGCCACAUUGGGACUGAGACACGGCCCAAACUCCUACGGGAGGCAGCAGUAGGGAAUCUUCGGCAAUGGACGAAAGUCUGACCGAGCAACGCCGCGUGAGUGAAGAAGGUUUUCGGAUCGUAAAACUCUGUUGGUAGAGAAGAACGUUGGUGAGAGUGGAAAGCUCAUCAAGUGACGGUAACUACCCAGAAAGGGACGGCUAACUACGUG
rnacentral:rRNA from 1 species